rnacentral:rRNA from 1 species
AUUGAACGCUGGCGGCAUGCUUUACACAUGCAAGUCGAACGGCAGCACGGACUUCGGUCUGGUGGCGAGUGGCGAACGGGUGAGUAAUACAUCGGAACGUGCCCAGUUGUGGGGGAUAACUACUCGAAAGAGUAGCUAAUACCGCAUGAGAACUGAGGUUGAAAGCAGGGGAUCGUAAGACCUUGCGCAACUGGAGCGGCCGAUGGCAGAUUAGGUGGUUGGUGGGAUAAAAGCUUACCAAGCCGACGAUCUGUAGCUGGUCUGAGAGGACGUCCAGCGACACUGGGACUGGUACACGGCGCAGGCUCCUACGGGAGGCAGCAGUGGGGAAUUUUGGACAAUGGGCGAAAGCCUGAUCCAGCAAUGCCGCGUGCAGGAUGAAGGCUUUCGGGUUGUAAACUGCUUUUGUACGGAACGAAAAGCUUCGGGUUAAUACCCUGGAGUCAUGACGGUACCGUAAGAAUAAGCACCGGCUAACUACGUGCCAGCCGCCGCCGUAAUAC